rnacentral:rRNA from 1 species
UACGGAGGGUGCAAGCGUUAUCCGGAUUCACUGGGUUUAAAGGGUGCGUAGGAGGGCAGGUAAGUCAGUGGUGAAAUCUCCAAGCUUAACUUGGAAACUGCCGUUGAUACUAUCUGUCUUGAAUAUUGUGGAGGUGAGCGGAAUAUGUCAUGUAGCGGUGAAAUGCUUAGAGAUGUGGAGGAACACCGAUGGCGAAGGCGGCUCACUGGCCCGGUACUGACGCUGAGGUGCGAAAGCGUGGGGAGCAAACAGG